CACGUGGGCGGAUAUUUAAGUCAGGGGUGAAAUCCCAGAGCUCAACUCUGGAACUGCCUUUGAUACUGGGUAUCUUGAGUAUGGAAGAGGUAAGUGGAAUUCCGAGUGUAGAGGUGAAAUUCGUAGAUAUUCGGAGGAACACCAGUGGCGAAGGCGACACACUGGCUCAUUACUGACGCUGAGGCUCGAAAGCGUGGGGAGCAAACA
rnacentral:rRNA from 1 species